rnacentral:rRNA from 1 species
CGCUAGCUACAGGCUUAACACAUGCAAGUCGAGGGGCAGCAUGGUCUUAGCUUGCUAAGGCCGAUGGCGACCGGCGCACGGGUGAGUAACACGUAUCCAACCUGCCGUCUACUCUUGGACAGCCUUCUGAAAGGAAGAUUAAUACAAGAUGGCAUCAUGAGUCCGCAUGUUCACAUGAUUAAAGGUAUUCCGGUAGACGAUGGGGAUGCGUUCCAUUAGAUAGUAGGCGGGGUAACGGCCCACCUAGUCUUCGAUGGAUAGGGGUUCUGAGAGGAAGGUCCCCCACAUUGGAACUGAGACACGGUCCAAACUCCUACGGGAGGCAGCAGUGAGGAAUAUUGGUCAAUGGGCGAGAGCCUGAACCAGCCAAGUAGCGUGAAGGAUGACUGCCCUAUGGGUUGUAAACUUCUUUUAUAAAGGAAUAAAGUCGGGUAUGCAUACCCGUUUGCAUGUACUUUAUGAAUAAGGAUCGGCUAACUCCGUGCCAGCAGCCGCGGUAAUACGGAGGAUCCGAGCGUUAUCCGGAUUUAUUGGGUUUAAAGGGAGCGUAGAUGGAUGUUUAAGUCAGUUGUGAAAGUUUGCGGCUCAACCGUAAAAUUGCAGUUGAUACUGGAUAUCUUGAGUGCAGUUGAGGCAGGCGGAAUUCGUGGUGUAGCGGUGAAAUGCUUAGAUAUCACGAAGAACUCCGAUUGCGAAGGCAGCCUGCUAAGCUGCAACUGACAUUGAGGCUCGAAAGUGUGGGUAUCAAACAGGAUUAGAUACCCUGGUAGUCCACACGGUAAACGAUGAAUACUCGCUGUUUGCGAUAUACAGCAAGCGGCCGAGCGAAAGCGUUAAGUAUUCCACCUGGGGAGUACGCCGGCAACGGUGAAACUCAAAGGAAUUGACGGGGGCCCCGCACAAGCGGAGGAACAUGUGGUUUAAUUCGAUGAUACGCGAGGAACCUUACCCGGGCUUAAAUUGCAGAUGAAUUACGGUGAAAGCCGUAAGCCGCAAGGCAUCUGUGAAGGUGCUGCAUGGUUGUCGUCAGCUCGUGCCGUGAGGUGUCGGCUUAAGUGCCAUAACGAGCGCAACCCUUGUUGUCAGUUACUAACAGGUUCCGCUGAGGACUCUGACAAGACUGCCAUCGUAAGAUGUGAGGAAGGUGGGGAUGACGUCAAAUCAGCACGGCCCUUACGUCCGGGGCUACACACGUGUUACAAUGGGGGGUACAGAGGGCCGCUACCACGCGAGUGGAUGCCAAUCCCCAAAACCUCUCUCAGUUCGGACUGGAGUCUGCAACCCGACUCCACGAAGCUGGAUUCGCUAGUAAUCGCGCAUCAGCCACGGCGCGGUGAAUACGUUCCCGGGCCUUGUACACACCGCCCGUCAAGCCAUGGGAGCCGGGGGUACCUGAAGUGCGUAACCGCGAGGAGCGCCCUAGGGUAAAACUGG